GGAUGGCUGCUGCUUGUGCAGAGGAAAGUCCGGACUCCUUGGAGGAAAGUGCCGGGUAACACCCGGCGGUAUUGGCGUUUCUUAAAUAUUUUUGUCUUUUUCAUGAGAAAUGCUGACACUAGGGAAAGUGUAACAGAAAAUAUACCGCCCGGUUUCGGGUAAGGUUGAAAAGGCGAGGUAAGAGCUCACCGCGUGCUUGGUAACAAGCAUGGCUGUACAAACCCCACUUGGAGCAAAACCAAAUAGGAAUAACGUGUCCUUCACACGAUGUUAUUCGGGUAGGUUGCUAGAUAUUUGCGGUAACGCAGAUACCAGAUGAAUAGCCAUCGGAAUCGAAAGAUUUUACAGAAUCCGGCUUACAGACU
rnacentral:RNase_P_RNA from 1 species